GACGAACGCUGGCGGCGUGCCUAAUACAUGCAAGUUGAGCGCUGAAGGUUGGUACUUGUACCAACUGGAUGAGCAGCGAACGGGUGAGUAACGCGUGGGGAAUCUGCCUUUGAGCGGGGGACAACAUUUGGAAACGAAUGCUAAUACCGCAUAAAAACUUUAAACACAAGUUUUAAGUUUGAAAGAUGCAAUUGCAUCACUCAAAGAUGAUCCCGCGUUGUAUUAGCUAGUUGGUGAGGUAAAGGCUCACCAAGGCGAUGAUACAUAUCCGACCUGAGAGGGUGAUCGGCCACAUUGGGACUGAGACACGGCCCAAACUCCUACGGGAGGCAGCAGUAGGGAAUCUUCGGCAAUGGACGAAAGUCUGACCGAGCAACGCCGCGUGAGUGAAGAAGGUUUUCGGAUCGUAAAACUCUGUUGGUAGAGAAGAACGUUGGUGAGAGUGGAAAGCUCAUCAAGUGACGGUAACUACCCAGAAAGGGACGGCUAACUACGU
rnacentral:rRNA from 1 species